AGGCCAUCCAAGAAACCAACACACAGCAGCCUGGAUUUCCACCCGACAUCCUACAUGAUCUGUUAGAAGGUGUUAUUCCAGUGGAGCUUGCUCUCUGUUUAAAAGGCUCAAAAGUUCCAGAAGGGGAU